rnacentral:rRNA from 1 species
AACGAACGCUGGCGGCAUGCCUAACACAUGCAAGUCGAACGAGACCUUCGGGUCUAGUGGCGCAAGGGUGCGUAACGCGUGGGAAUCUGCCCUUGGGUUCGGAAUAACAGUGAGAAAUUACUGCUAAUACCGGAUGAUGUCUUCGGACCAAAGAUUUAUCGCCCAGGGAUGAGCCCGCGUAGGAUUAGCUAGUUGGUGGGGUAAUGGCCUACCAAGGCGACGAUCCUUAGCUGGUCUGAGAGGAUGAUCAGCCACACUGGGACUGAGACACGGCCCAGACUCCUACGGGAGGCAGCAGUGGGGAAUAUUGGACAAUGGGCGCAAGCCUGAUCCAGCAAUGCCGCGUGAGUGAUGAAGGCCUUAGGGUUGUAAAGCUCUUUUACCCGGGAUGAUAAUGACAGUACCGGGAGAAUAAGCUCCGGCUAACUCCGUG